ensembl:snRNA U6 U6 spliceosomal RNA
AUGCUCUCUUUGGCAGCACACAUACUAAAACUGGAACGAUACAGAGAAGAUUAGCAUGGCCCCUGCGCAAGGAUGACAUGCAGAUUCACGAAGCGUUCCGUAUUUUU